rnacentral:rRNA from 1 species
CAUGCAAGUCGAACGAGAGAAGAGAAGCUUGCUUUUCUGAUCUAGUGGCGGACGGGUGAGUAACACGUGAGCAAUCUGCCUUUCAGAGGGGGAUACCGAUUGGAAACGAUCGUUAAUACCGCAUAACAUAAUUGAACCGCAUGAUUUGAUUAUCAAAGAUUUAUCGCUGAAAGAUGAGCUCGCGUCUGAUUAGCUAGUUGGUAAGGUAACGGCUUACCAAGGCGACGAUCAGUAGCCGGACUGAGAGGUUGAUCGGCCACAUUGGGACUGAGACACGGCCCAGACUCCUACGGGAGGCAGCAGUGGGGAAUAUUGCACAAUGGAGGAAACUCUGAUGCAGCGAUGCCGCGUGAGGGAAGAAGGUUUUAGGAUUGUAAACCUCUGUCUUCAGGGACGAAAAAAUGACGGUACCUGAGGAGGAAGCUCCGGCUAACUACGUGCCAGCAGCCGCGGUAAUACGUAGGGAGCGAGCGUUGUCCGGAAUUACUGGGUGUAAAGGGAGCGUAGGCGGGAUCGCAAGUCAGAUGUGAAAACUAUGGGCUUAACCCAUAAACUGCAUUUGAAACUGUGGUUCUUGAGUGAAGCAGAGGUAAGCGGAAUUCCUAGUGUAGCGGUGAAAUGCGUAGAUAUUAGGAGGAACAUCAGUGGCGAAGGCGGCUUACUGGGCUUUAACUGACGCUGAGGCUCGAAAGCGUGGGGAGCAAACAGGAUUAGAUACCCUGGUAGUCCACGCCGUAAACGAUGAUUACUAGGUGUGGGGGGACUGACCCCUUCCGUGCCGCAGCAAACGCAAUAAGUAAUCCACCUGGGGAGUACGACCGCAAGGUUGAAACUCAAAGGAAUUGACGGGGGCCCGCACAAGCAGUGGAGUAUGUGGAUUAAUUCGAAGCAACGCGAAGAACCCUACCAGGUCUUGACAUCGUAUGCACAGCUCA